UACGGAGGGGGCAAGCGUUAUUCGGAAUUAUUGGGCGUAAAGGGCGCGUAGGCGGCUAGAUGUGUCAAAGGUGAAAUCCCUCGGCUCAACUGAGGAACUGCCUUUGAAACUGUCUGGCUUGAGGCCGGGAGAGGGUAGCGGAAUUCCCAGUGUAGCAGUGAAAUGCGUAGAGAUGUGGAGGAACACCGAUGGCGAAGGCAGCCCCCUGGGGUAACACUGACGCUCAUGCACGAAAGCGUGGGGAGCAAACAGG
rnacentral:rRNA from 1 species